rnacentral:rRNA from 1 species
UACGGAGGGUGCAAGCGUUGCUCGGAAUUAUUGGGCGUAAAGGGCGCGUAGGCGGUCAGCACAAGUCAGUUGUGAAAUCUCCGGGCUUAACUCGGAAAGGUCAACUGAUACUGUGCGACUAGAGUGCGGAAGGGGCAACUGGAAUUCUCGGUGUAGCGGUGAAAUGCGUAGAUAUCUGGAGGAACACCGGUGGCGAAGGCGGCAUCCUGGACCAACACUGACGCUGAGGAGCGAAAGCCAGGGGAGCAAACGGG